rnacentral:rRNA from 1 species
GACGAACGCUGGCGGCGUGCUUAACACAUGCAAGUCGUACGGUAAGGCCCUUUCGGGGGUACACGAGUGGCGAACGGGUGAGUAACACGUGAGUAACCUGCCCACAACUUUGGGAUAACGCUAGGAAACUGGUGCUAAUACUGGAUAUGUGCUCCUGCUGCAUGGUGGGGGUUGGAAAGCUCCGGCGGUUGUGGAUGGACUCGCGGCCUAUCAGCUUGUUGGUGGGGUAGUGGCCUACCAAGGCGGCGACGGGUAGCCGGCCUGAGAGGGUGACCGGCCACAUUGGGACUGAGAUACGGCGCAGACUCCUACGGGAGGCAGCAGUGGAGAAUAGUGCACAAUGGGCGCAAGCCUGAUGCAGCAACGCCGCGUGCGGGAUGACGGCCUUCGGGUUGUAAACCGCUUUCAGCAGGGACGAAGCUUUUUGUGGCGGUACCUGCAGAAGAAGCACCGGCUAACUACGUG